rnacentral:rRNA from 1 species
UGGGGAAUUUUGGACAAUGGGCGAAAGCCUGAUCCAGCAAUGCCGCGUGUGUGAAGAAGGCCUUCGGGUUGUAAAGCACUUUUGUCCGGAAAGAAAUCCUUGGCUCUAAUACAGUCGGGGGAUGACGGUACCGGAAGAAUAAGCACCGGCUAACUACGUGCCAGCAGCCGCGGUAAUACGUAGGGUGCAAGCGUUAAUCGGAAUUACUGGGCGUAAAGCGUGCGCAGGCGGUUUGCUAAGACCGAUGUGAAAUCCCCGGGCUCAACCUGGGAACUGCAUUGGUGACUGGCAGGCUAGAGUAUGGCAGGAGGGGGGUAGAAUUCCACGUGUAGCAGUGAAAUGCGUAGAGAUGUGGAGGAAUACCGAUGGCGAAGGCAGCCCCCUGGGCCAAUACUGACGCUCAUGCACGAAAGCGUGGGGAGCAAACAGGAUUAGAUACCCUGGUAGUCCACGCCCUAAACGAUGUCAACUAGUUGUUGGGGAUUCAUUCCUUAGUAACGUAGCUAACGCGUGAAGUUGACCGCCUGGGGAGUACGGUCGCAAGAUUAAACUCAAUGAAUUGACGGGGUCAUAGCUGUUUCCU